CACGACAAGAGAAGAUCAUCCUAGCACCACAAAUUGGUUAGGUGAUGGUUAUCAUCCAUUCACGAACCCAUAAUUUUCCAAUCAAUUCGGGUUGUAAUUUCUUAUUCGGGUUGUAAUUUCUUAUUCAUUGAAUAGAGUACUUUAUGUUGUUUCCAAUUUAUUGAACUUAGUACUUUAUUCAAAACACAUUUAAACACACCAAAUAAAAUAACAUCAACACACCAAAAAAACACACCAAAUAAAAUAAAAUUACAUUUCAACUCACUAAAUGAACUAAAAAAACACACCACAUAAAAUAAAAUAAACACACCAAAUAAAAUAAAAUUACAUUUCAACUCACUAAAUGAACUAAAAAAACACACCACAUAAAAUAAAAUAAACACACCAAAUAAAAACAAACACUAAUGAACUUAAGUAUCGUCAGCACCCCUCAAUUCCCACUGGUGCUCUAUCAAGUCAAGUUGGCGGGCAUUGUGCAUAUAUGACCUUUGAAGUGCAGUAUAUCGUUGGAUGAUCCUUUCAUUGUAACGUCCAUCCCUUUCUAAUGGCUCAUGUUGCACGGGCUCAUCGGUGGCGUCAUGAGCACAAUAUAUACGUGUUCUUGAAUUGUUCAUCGUGUCUGGCUCAUAUUCAUCAACGGCUUCAUAAUCGUACUCAUCUUCCACAAUCAUGUUGUGAAGAAUGAUGCACGUCAUCAUGAUGGAUCGAAGCGACUCUACAUCAAACAAUCUGGCAGCACCCCUGAUGAGAAUAUGAAAAAUCAAUAUUUAUUUGGACUGUUGGGCUUCUUGGAAUUUUUCAAGGUCUUCAAAUUUAUUGGUGCUAAAUUGGCUAUUGUGGAAAAUGUUAGUUGGACAUUUGAAAGAUCGAGGAAGACCAAACAAAACUUGAGGACGAGUUAUCGCACAACAGAAAUGUAUGACACCGAAUUUGGACUCGUCUAAUUAUUACAUGGUGUAUUCAGCAUAUUUAAUUCAAUGAUGGUUCAUGUUCUCAUUUAAGUUCAUGAUUAGUCUUACAUUAACUUCAUGCUUAGUAACCUAUUCAUGGAAGGUUGAAGGUUGUUCCAUGCCUAGCUAUUUAAAACCACUACUCAUGUAUGGAAACACAAUUAUUCAGAAAUUAAAAAUUACUUUUAAACUUGUUUUAUUGAAGAGUGUUUUUCUUCCUAUCUGUAAACUCUUAUCUCUUUGGUGGAUUCCUUAGAGUGCCGAGUUGUUUAUCUUUGAAUGUUCACUUAUGGUUUCUCUUUGAUCUCCGUUAUCCGGAGUCAGACACCUCAAGUAAGGCAGGGUAAAACCUUGCUUAUAGAGUUGGUCAUUGAUGAUCAGGUUGCUAGCAGACUUGAAUCAAAUUUGCUUAGCUUGGACUUUAUCAUCUGGGAAGGUGCCAUGAGUAAGGAAUUUAUAGAUUGGGGUGAUCCAACUAUCCCUUUGUUGUACGUUGCACACUUCCAUGGCUAUGGUGCUUGGUGCUGCCAAUAACUCGACAUGAAUGUUUCUUCCAAUCUCGUCUUCCACUGCUGAGGUGAGGCGAGCCAAGGCGUCUGCAUGGCUAUUUACUGCUCGAAGGACUUGGGUGAUAUAGUAGUGGAAAUGCUUGAGCAAAAGUUGUGCCUGCGUAAGAUAUGCGUCCAUGGAGCUAUCCUUAGCGUCAAAGUUGUUCGUGACUUGGUUAACCACUACCUGAGAGUCGCUGAAGAUAUCAAGUUGUUUAACUCCAAGGUGUUUGGCUAAACGCGCUUACUAGGAGGACUUCAUACUAGGCCUUAUUGUUUGACGCUUUGAAUUUGAAAAGAAGGGCAUACUCCAUUGCAAUUUUGUUAGGCAUAGUAAAGACCAGUCUUACUCCACAGACUUGUUGGUUGGAUGAGCCAUCAACAUACAAAGACCAUACUGGGAAGGUUGGUUCUCCUUUUCGAGCUUCUUAAGGUAACAAAGCCAAUGCCUCAGGUGUAGGAGAAAUGUCAACUGGAUAUGUGAAUUCAGUGAUGAAGUCUGCAAUUGCUUAACCCUUCUCAACUGGCUUUAGUUGGUAAGAGACAUCAAACUCACCCAAUGUUAUCGUCAUUUGAUCAUUCGUCCCGAAGUGUCAAGACUCUAGAGUAUUUGUCGAAGGGGGUGAUUGGUAAACACGAUGAUAGAGUGUGGUUGGAAGUAAGAGCGAAGUUUUCAAGCAGACAUGAUCAAUGCUAGAGCCAAUUUCUCAAUGUUAGAGUAUCGUAUCUCUGUAUCUUAUAAGGCUUUGCUAGUGUAGUAGACGGGUCGUUCAACAUUACCAUUCUUUUGAAUGAGAAUAAAACUAAUUGCUAAAGCUGAAACAUAUAAAUAGAUAAUGAUAACAUCAUCAACUUUAGGUUUGGAGAGUAAGGGGCUUUACUCAUGUACUCUUUGAGGUUCUUGAAUGCCUUGGCACAUUUAUUAGUCCAUGUAAUGUAUUUCUUACUUCCCUUAAG
rnacentral:lncRNA from 1 species